UACGAAGGGGGCUAGCGUUGCUCGGAAUCACUGGGCGUAAAGCGCACGUAGGUGGCUUUCUAAGUCAGGGGUGAAAUCCUGGAGCUCAACUCCAGAACUGCCUUUGAUACUGGAAAGCUUGAGUUCGGGAGAGGUGAGUGGAACUGCGAGUGUAGAGGUGAAAUUCGUAGAUAUUCGCAAGAACACCAGUGGCGAAGGCGGCUCACUGGCCCGAUACUGACGCUGAGGUGCGAAAGCGUGGGGAGCAAACAGG
rnacentral:rRNA from 1 species